AGGGUUAUAGUUAAUUAUAACAUUUGAUUUGCAUUCAAAAAGUAUUGAAUUUUCAUCAAUUUUCCUUA
rnacentral:tRNA from 1 species